CCAAACACCAGGAGUUUCAGCGUGGUGAGCUGUACCUAUGGCAGGGAGGGUGUCUGUACCACGGGAGGGUGUCUGUCCUGCUGUCCUCGGGGCAGGAAUGGCCCUGCUGCUCUCCCACAGCUCAGCACACAAAGUGCCCAGCUGUGGAACAGGUUUUACUGGGACUCCUGAGAGCCAGAGAGGAGUUUGGUAAGAGGAUCCAUGUUCACCCCUGAAAGAAUUUCCUACCAAAGUUAUUAACAUAGAAACCCAGACAGAGAGAAAGGAUCAAUAAGAGAACCCUGCACCUAUUGCAGUGAGCACUUUGUUUGUCCCAUGACCAAUGAGUGAAGUGGAAACUUCUGAGCUUUGUAAGGAUGUAUAAAAAGCAUGCAUGCCAGAAUAAAAUCAGUUUGAAGCCUUCUGGAAAUGGAGUGUUGUUUUGUAUUGUCUCCAUCUCUACAGCACCCAGCUCCUGCAGGACACUCUGGACUGGGAGGGAGGGCAGGGAAUAUCCAUUUUUCCACCCAACCCAGAGCACUUCCCAGCACAGUUUCCUCCUAAGCUCAGGUUGAACAUGAAUUCCUCCCCUUCUUGCCUUGAAACACAGAAGUCACAGCACCAGCCCCCUCCUCUGAUCUCCGUGGUCAUUUGGUGUUUAAUGCCUUUGCUCCCAAAGCCUCAACAAUUUCUGAAUUCCUGCUUGCUGGGAGAUUACAGAAGCUGUUUUCCCUCAAGAAAAGAUCAUGGGCUAAAGAAGAAAUCAAGUAUCCCUGUUUAGGUUAGAUAUCCCAGAGGAAAAUGAAAAUGAGCAUUUUCAGUUCCAGAGAAUGAACAUCUGGAGAAUCCCAAGUGCAGAAGGGGAGCUCCCCAACAAAAGUGCAGCUGUCUGAGGUGGUUUUCAGAACAAACUCCAAAGCAAACUUCCAUCAUGCAAAAUCUGCAAAACCAGACAGCUUUUCCUUUUUAAAAAAGAAAAAUGAUUCUGAUGAUGCAGGGCUGAGGGUUGAGAAGAUCUUUUCUGAGAGGAUGUGACCCAUGGAACCCAAAUUCCCUGUGAGGAAUGGUCUCCAGAGGAGAAGCUGCAGUGCAGCAUGUGAAGUGUUCUGCUUUUAGUCACAUUCCUCUCAAACACAUCCCCACACGUGUGCUGCAGUCCCCACUCCCAAACUUCUGCUCCAGCCCUUCAUCUGCUUCCCAGAGCAAGUAUUCUGAUUUUGAGAAGUUUUUCCACUUGACAGCUUAGUACUGCAUUUUUGGGAUAUUCUCCAUUUAUAUCUUUCUGGAUAUAAGAUAAUCAAGAUUAGGCAGCACAUUAACAAGAAAAAACUCCCUGUGUUUUAAACAACUGGCAAAGCAAUUUCCACAGGUUUGUCAGGUCCCUCCUCCAGUCUGAUCUCACUGAGCCAUUCUGCAGGGCUCCAAAGAGCUAGGAAAAAUCCACAACUGUGCCACUAAUUCACCAUGAGACCUUCAAACCCUGCUACAAGCAGAAGUAUUUCAUUCAGAAUGUCUUAUAGUACAGACCUGAGGGAGCUCCCAAGGCUACACCUAAAUAGGACAGCCUGCAGUGUAGGAUGUUUAUGUAAAACCCCUCUGCUCUUGGGAUAUUUCUGGGUUCUAAGUUCUCCAUCCUUCCCAGACACUGCAACCGCCAUGGAGAUUCUCUCCUUUCCCCAGCAAUGUUUGGAAUCAGUCAGGAAGAGCAGCAGCACUUCAGCCUAUCAAAACCUGAGAGUUUUGAAGCAGGGGAGGAGGGUCUGGAAACCAUCAGAGCUCUGGAGUUCUCCUUCUCCCCAGCAGGCUUAACCUCUGCCUCUGAAGGUAUUCAAUGCUUCUGGCAGUGGAAAAACUCCCCUGAAUCCAAAGCAAAAGAGCAGCAGAGUCCUGCACAACUGCCUGGGACUUCAUCCUGCUCUGCUAGUGCUCAGGGAGGUGCUCCAGAGCCAGGAGAGGACCUGGGAUGAGCUUGCUGAGACACCUCCUCUGCUCCCACUGCACUGCCAGGGACCCUGCUGGACCCCCAGGGCAUUUAUCUCCCACUCUGACCAGCAGCCCCCCUCAACCAUCCUGCAAGAAGUGAAUCUGUGGGUUAAAACCUGGUGCUGAUGGUAGCAAAGUUAUGGAUUCAACCCCUGGGUGGGCCCUUCCCUGCAGAGCUGGGCUCCUGGUCCCUGUGGGACCCAGCUCAGGCUCUGCUGUGGCUCUGGAGGAGCUCAGCACUGAGCAGGACACUGUGAGCAAGGAGAGCUGUGAGAAGGCAAAAGCUGAUCAGAAAAUCAGCCUUGGGAACAAAACCUUCUCAGGGGAAGAGUAUUUCCCAUGUUUUGUGAGAAGAGCUUUACUUUGAGCUGCCACACUCUACAGAGGAGCUGGGACUGUGCCAGGGUGGCUCAGGCUGGACAGCAGCAGGAAUUUCCCCAUGGAAAGGGUGGAACUGCCCAGGGAGGGCUGGAGUGCCCAUCCCUGGGGGUGGCACUCAGAGCUCUGGGCUGGGGACUGGGCACAGCUGGGACUGGAGGUUUUUCCCAAGUUGGGGACUGGGCACAGCUGGGACUGGAGGUUUUUCCCAAGCUGGGGACUGGGCACAGCUGGGACUGGAGGUUUUUCCCAAGCUGGGGACUGGGCACAGCUGGGACUGGAGGUUUUUCCCAAGUUGGGGACUGGGCACAGCUGGGACUGGAGGUUUUUCCCAAGUUGGGGAUUGGGCACAGCUGGGACUGGAGGUUUUUCCCAAGUUGGGGACUGGGCACAGCUGGGACUGGCUCCUGGAGGUUAUUCCCAAGCUGGGGACUGGGCACAGCUGGGACUGGCUCCUGGAGGUUUUUCCCAAGUUGGGGACUGGGCACAGCUGGGACUGGCUCCUGGAGGUUUUUUCCCAAGCUGGGUGGCCCCGAGGUGGCCAGGCCAGGCUGGCAAAGGCCCUACCCAGGGUGGCCAGCUGCUUGAAGUGCAGGCAGGCGUUGGGCUGGCCCAGCAGGU